CCAUGCAUGGUUCAUGUUGACCGUGCUGUCUCUUUGGCUGCAGGGUGGUGGGCUCUGGUGACCAUGUGCACCACCAUCAUGCUUCUCUCCACUCUGGCUCUAGUGCUGCGCCAGCAUUUCACUGGCCGACCCAAGACCUUUCCAAAAGACUCUUCCACAGAGGAAGAGGCAUCCUGUGUGCAGAGCAGCAAGGGGAACUGAGGCACACUGCGUUAUCAGCCUCAGAUGUGGGUUUUAGAUGUGGAAGGUGUCCUCAGGUCC